ensembl:lncRNA
AUGGGGUUUCACCAUGUUGCCCAGGCUUAUCUCAAACUCCUGGGUUUAAGUAGUCCUCCUUCCACCUCGGUCACCCAAAGUGUUGGGAUUACAGGUGUGAGCCACCAUGCCUGGCCAACUUCAGCUUUUAAUUCUUACCAAUCUGAGAAUGAUGGUUUCCAGCUGCAUCCAUGUCCCUACAAAGGACACAAACUCAUCCUUUUUUAUGGCUGCAUAGUAUUCCAUGGUGUAUAUGUGCCACAUUUUCUUAAUCCAGUCUGUCACUGAUGGACAUUUGGGUUGAUUCCAAGUCUUUGCUAUUGUGAAUAGUGCCGCAAUAAGCAUACGUGUGCAUGUGUCUUUAUAGCAGCAUGAUUUAUAAUCCUUUGGGUAUAUCCCCAGUAAUGGGAUGGCUGGGUCAAAUGGUAUUUCUACUUCUAGAUCCUUGAGGAAUCACCACACUGUUUUCCACAAUGGUUGAACUAGUUUAUAGUCCCACCAACACUGUAAAAGUAUUCCUAUUUCUCCACAUCCUCUUCAGCACCUGUUGUUUCCUGAUCUUUUAGUGAUUGCCAUUCUAACUGGUGUGAGAUGGUAUCUCAUUGUGGUUUUAAUUUGCAUUUCUCUGAUGACGAGUGAUGAUAAGCAUUUUUUCAUGUGUCUGUUGGCUGUAUGAAUGUCUUCUUUUGAGAAGUGUCUGUUCAUAUCCUUUGCCCACUUUUUGAUGGGGUUGUUUUUUUUCUUCUAAAUUUGAUUGAGCUCUUUAUAGGUUCUGGAUAUUAGCCCUUUGUCAGAUGAGUAGAUUGCAAACAUUUUCUCCCAUUCUGUUGGUUGCCAGUUCACUCUGAUGGUAGUUUCUUUUGCUGUGCAGAAGCUCUUUAGUUUAAUUAGAUCCCAUUUGUCAAUUUUGGCUUUUGUUGCUGUUGCUUUUGGUGUUUUAGACAUGAAGUGCUUGCCCAUGCCUAUGUCCUGAAUGGUAUUACCUAGGUUUUCUUCUAGGGUUUUUAUGGUAUUAAGUCAAACAUUUAAGUCUCUAAUCCAUCUUGAGUUAAUUUUCCUAUAAGGAGUAAGGAAAGGAUCCAGUUUCAGCUUUCUACUUAUGGCUAGCCAAUUUUCUCAGCACCAUUUAUUAAAUAGGGAAUCCUUUCCCCAUUUCUGGUUUUUGUCAGGAUCGUCAAAGAUCAGAUGACUGUAGAUGUGUGGUGUUAUUUCUGAGUGGUCUAUUCUGUUCCAUUGGUCUAUAUCUCUGUUUUGGUACCAGUACCAUGCUGUUUUGGUUACUGUAGCCUUGUAGUAUAGUUUGAAGUCAGGUAGCAUGAUGCCUCCAACUUUGUUCUUUUGGCUUAGGACUGUCUUGGCAAUGCGGGCUCUUUUUUGGUUCCAUAUGAACUUUUAAGCAGUUUUUUCCAAUUAUGUAAAGAAAGUCAUUGGUAGCUUAAUGGGAUGGCAUUGAAUCUAUAAAUUACCUUGGGCAGUAUAGCCAUUUUCACAAUAUUGAUUCUUCCUAUCCAUGAGCAUGGUAUGUUCUUCCAUUUGUUUGUGUCCUCUUUUAUUUCACUGAGCAGUGGUGUGUAGAGGGAAAUUUAUAGCACUAAAUGCCAACAAGAGAAAGCAGGAAAGAUCUAAAAUUGACACCCUAGCAUCACAAUUAAAAGAACUAGAGAAGCAAGAGCAAACACAUUCAAAAGCUAGCAGAAGGCAAGAAACAACUAAGAUCAGAGCAGAACUGAAGGAGAUACAGACACAAAAGACCCUCCAAAAAGAUCAAUGAAUCCAGGAGCUGGUUUUUUGAAAAGAUCAACAAAAUUGAUAGACUGCCAGCAAGAGUAAUAAAGAAGAAAAAAGAGAAGAAUCAAAUAGAUGCAAUAAAAAAAUGAUAAAGGGGAUAUCACCACCGACCCCACAGAAAUACAACGACAAUCAGAGAAUACUAUAAACACCUCUACGCAAAUA